rnacentral:rRNA from 1 species
AGUAACGCGUGAGCAAUCUGCCUUUAAGAGGGGGAUAACAGUCGGAAACGGCUGCUAAUACCGCAUAAAGCAUUGAAUUCGCAUGUUUUCGAUGCCAAAGGAGCAAUCCGCUUUUAGAUGAGCUCGCGUCUGAUUAGCUAGUUGGCGGGGUAACGGCCCACCAAGGCGACGAUCAGUAGCCGGACUGAGAGGUUGAACGGCCACAUUGGGACUGAGACACGGCCCAGACUCCUACGGGAGGCAGCAUG